rnacentral:rRNA from 1 species
UACGAAGGGUGCAAGCGUUAAUCGGAAUUACUGGGCGUAAAGGGUGCGUAGGCGGUUGUUUAAGUCUGUCGUGAAAUCCCCGGGCUCAACCUGGGAAUGGCGAUGGAUACUGGCAGGCUGGAGUAUGGUAGAGGAAGGUGGAAUUCCCGGUGUAGCAGUGAAAUGCGUAGAGAUCGGGAGGAACACCAGUGGCGAAGGCGGCCUUCUGGUCUGUAACUGACGCUGAGGCGCGAAAGCGUGGGGAGCAAACAGG